rnacentral:rRNA from 1 species
CUGAUCUUAGCGGCGGACGGGUGAGUAAUGCUUAGGAAUCUGCCUAUUAGUGGGGGACAACAUUUCGAAAGGAAUGCUAAUACCGCAUACGUCCUACGGGAGAAAGCAGGGGAUCUUCGGACCUUGCGCUAAUAGAUGAGCCUAAGUCGGAUUAGCUAGUUGGUGGGGUAAAGGCCUACCAAGGCGACGAUCUGUAGCGGGUCUGAGAGGAUGAUCCGCCACACUGGGACUGAGACACGGCCCAGACUCCUACGGGAGGCAGCAGUGGGGAAUAUUGGACAAUGGGCGCAAGCCUGAUCCAGCCAUGCCGCGUGUGUGAAGAAGGCCUUAUGGUUGUAAAGCACUUUAAGCGAGGAGGAGGCUACUUUAGUUAAUACCUAGAGAUAGUGGACGUUACUCGCAGAAUAAGCACCGGCUAACUCUGUGCCAGCAGCCGCGGUAAUACAGAGGGUGCAAGCGUUAAUCGGAUUUACUGGGCGUAAAGCGCGCGUAGGCGGCUAAUUAAGUCAAAUGUGAAAUCCCCGAGCUUAACUUGGGAAUUGCAUUCGAUACUGGUUAGCUAGAGUGUGGGAGAGGAUGGUAGAAUUCCAGGUGUAGCGGUGAAAUGCGUAGAGAUCUGGAGGAAUACCGAUGGCGAAGGCAGCCAUCUGGCCUAACACUGACGCUGAGGUGCGAAAGCAUGGGGAGCAAACAGGAUUAGAUACCCUGGUAGUCCAUGCCGUAAACGAUGUCUACUAGCCGUUGGGGCCUUUGAGGCUUUAUUGGCGCAGCUAACGCGAUAAGUAGACCGCCUGGGGAGUACGGUCGCAAGACUAAAACUCAAAUGAAUUGACGGGGGCCCGCACAAGCGGUGGAGCAUGUGGUUUAAUUCGAUGCAACGCGAAGAACCUUACCUGGCCUUGACAUAGUAAGAACUUUCCAGAGAUGGAUUGGUGCCUUCGGGAACUUACAUACAGGUGCUGCAUGGCUGUCGUCAACUCAUGUCCUGAGAUGUUGGGUUAAGUCCCGCAACCAACCCAACCCUUUUCCUUAUUUGCCAGCGAGUAAUGU